rnacentral:rRNA from 1 species
AUGGCGAUCGUUGCUUUAGAUGAGCUUGUCCAAGGAAAUAGCAAUGAUUCAGUCUAUGUGUAUGUCUCGCGACUAUGGAACCAUCGUGGAGGCACUGACACUGGUCCGAUCAAGCACACUGACAUGGUUCUUAUGGAUGCCGUGGGCAACCACAUGUAUGCUGAGAUUUCUGAGAAACUGGUUCCUACAUUUGCGUCAAGGAUUCGUGAAGGCUGCGCUUAUGUGAUUUCUCAGUUCUUGGUGUUUCCAAACAAACACUAUUUCAAGCCUGUCGCUGGACCACAUAUGAUCAGAUUCAACCGUUUUACCACAACCGACCCUCCAGCUAAUGAAGAGAUUGAAUUCCCAUUCUGUACUUACUCGCUCACCGCUUUGGCUCAUCUUCCUGCGCCGGUUGAGACCCCUGACUAUUUCACAGACAUCCUAGGACUUAUUGUCGGUGUGUCUGAUGCCAUGGUAUACCACAUCUCUAACAGAGCUGAGCCUUAUGUAAAGCGAACUAUCACUCUUGCUGACCUGAGUGGAUAUCAGAUCAAUGUCGUACUGUGGGGAGAGCAGGCAAAGGCCUUUGAUGGAGAUGAUGUCAUGCAGAUAGGCCAAACUGGACCAGUCAUUGCUCUAAUCGUUGGGACCCUGGUUAAAAACUAUGAAGGACGCAGGGGGGUUAGUGGUAGCGCAGCAUGCCGAUGGUACAUUAAUGAUGAUAUAUCUGACAUCACCCAAUUUCACGAAAGCCUCCAAGGAAAGUUCUCUCUUGUAAAGAAAAUUAUUCUUCCUGGUCAAACCGCAGAUGAGAAAAGUGCAUAG